UGGGGAAUAUUGGACAAUGGGGGGAACCCUGAUCCAGCCAUGCCGCGUGUGUGAAGAAGGCCUUAUGGUUGUAAACCACUUUAAGCGAGGAGGAGGGUACUGGUAUUAAUACUACCAGCUACUGGACGUUACUCGCAGAAUAAGCACCGGCUAACUCUGUGCCAGCAGCCGCGGUAAUACAGAGGGUGCGAGCGUUAAUCGGAUUUACUGGGCGUAAAGCGUGCGUAGGCGGCUAAUUGAGUCGGAUGUGAAAUCCCCGAGCUUAACUUGGGAAUUGCAUUCGAUACUGGUUAGCUAGAGUGUGGGAGAGGAUGGUAGAAUUCCAGGUGUAGCGGUGAAAUGCGUAGAGAUCUGGAGGAAUACCGAUGGCGAAGGCAGCCAUCUGGCCUAACACUGACGCUGAGGUACGAAAGCAUGGGGAGCAAACAGG
rnacentral:rRNA from 1 species